rnacentral:lncRNA from 1 species
GCGCAUGUUGACAGCAUAUUCUGUACCGCGCGGUGUUCCCUUUGUCCUUUGCCAAAGGGAAGACUUCACUUUUGAAGAUGUCGAGGAUGCGCACGAGCCACCCACUGAACGAGAGAUGGAAGGUGGUCAGAGGCGAUCUAUACUUUAUCACGACGCUGCACCUCUGUACAUGCGCAAGAGGUUUCGCGCGGGCAAACUGAUCAGCUUGCGUCAAAAGAAAGACAAAGCUCGCAGCGAGCCUCGAAGGACAUUUGAGCAUGGAUCGAGCUCCCGUUCUGCACCAGGACCUCCCAAGGGCUAUGUGCCUUACACUUCUGCUGGAGUGACGCUUCC